AGAGCUUGAUCCUGGCUCAGAAUAAACGUUGGCGGUGCGCCUUAUGCAUGCAAGUCGGACGGUUGAGCGCGUAACUUGUUAUGUGCUCGAUAGUGGCGAACGGCUGAGUAACACGUAAGUAACCUACCUUGGAGCGGGAAAUAACCUGUCGAAAGGCGGGCUAAUGUCCCAUGUGGUAACGAAGCAUAUGCUUGGUUACUAAAGUCUUCGGGCGCUCUGAGAGGGGCUUGCGUCUGAUUAGCUAGUUGGUAGGGUAAUGGCCUACCAAGGCGAUGAUCGGUAGCUGGUCUGAGAGGAUGAUCAGCCAGAUGGGGACUGAGACACGGCCCCAACUCCUACGGGAGGCAGCAGCAAGGAAUCUUGGGCAAUGAGCGAAAGCUUGACCCAGCGACACCGCGUGAGGGAAGAAGGCCCUCGGGUUGUAAACCUCUUUUCUUGGGGAAGAAUUCUGACGGUACCCAAGGAAUAAGCCUCGGCCAACUACGUGCCAGCAGCCGCGGUAAUACGUAGGAGGCGAACGUUAUUCGGAUUUACUGGGCGUAAAGGGAGCGUAGGCGGUUCUUCAAGUCAGAUGUGAAAUCUUUUGACUCAAUCAGAAGGCGCCAUUUGAUACUGAGGGACUUGAGAAUAGCAGAGGGAAAUGGAAUCCCCAGUGUAGCGGUGAAAUGCGUAGAUAUUGGGGAGAACACCAGUGGCGAAGGCGAUUUCCCAGGUUAUUUCUGACGCUGAGGCUCGAAAGCGUGGGGAGCGAAGCGGAUUAGAUACCCGCGUAGUCCACGCCGUAAACGGUGAACACUUGAUAUGGGGAGUAUCGACCCUCCUCGUGUCGAAGCCAACGCUUUAAGUGUUCCGCCUGGGGAGUACGGCCGCAAGGCUAAAACUCAAAGGAAUUGACGGGGGCCCGCACAAGCAGCGGAGCGUGUGGUUUAAUUCGAUGCUACACGAAGAACCUUACCAGGGCUUGACAUGUUGGAAGUAGGAACCCGAAAGGGCGACGACCUGUAUCCAGUCAGGAACCUUCACAGGUGCUGCAUGGCUGUCGUCAGCUCGUGCCGUGAGGUGUUGGGUUAAGUCCCGCAACGAGCGCAACCCUUGUCCUAUGUUAAAUUCUCAUAGGAGACUGCCUUGUACAGCAAGGAGGAAGGAAAGGAUGACGUCAAGUCAGCAUGGCCUUUAUGUCCUGGGCUACACACACGCUACAAUGGGUGAUACAGAGGGUUGCCAAGGAGUGAUCCGGAGCUAAUCCCCAAAAAUCAUCCUCAGUUCGGAUUGCAGGCUGAAAUCGCCUGCAUGAAGUCGGAGUUGCUAGUAACCGCAGGUCAGCUAUACUGCGGUGAAUACGUUCUCGGGCCUUGUACACACCGCCCGUCACGCCAUGGGAGCUGGCAACGCCUGAAGUCGAUGGGCUAACCCCGACUUGUCGGGGAGGCAGUCGCCUAAGGUGGGGCUGGUGACUGUGACGAAGUCGUAACAAGGCAGCCGUACGGGAACGUGUGGCUG
rnacentral:rRNA from 1 species